rnacentral:rRNA from 1 species
GACUAACGCUGGCGGCGCGCAUAAGCUUAUGCAAGUCGUGCGAUUAAAGCUCCCCUCGGGGAGUGUAUAAAGCGGCGAACGGGUGAGUAACACGUGGGCAACCUGCCCGUCGGUAUGGGAUAACCCGCCGAAAGGCGGGCUAAUACCGUAUACGGUCCCCAGACGACAUCGGCUGGGGAAGAAAGCCGGCCUCUGCUUGCAAGCCGGCGCCGACGGAUGGGCCCGCGGGCUAUUAGCUUGUUGGUGGGGUAACGGCCUACCAAGGCGAUGAUGGCUAGCCGGCCUGAGAGGGCGUACGGCCACACAGGGACUGAGACAAGGCCCUGUCCCCUACGGGAGGCGCAGGCGGGAAUCGUUCACAAUGGGCGCAAGCCUGAUGACGCGACGCCGCGUGAGGGAUGAAGGCUUUCGGGUUGUAAACCUCUGCCGGGAGANANAAAGACGGGCGGCCAAUACCCGCCCGAGCUGACGUUAUCUCCCAAGAAAGCCUCGGCUAACUACGUGCCAGCAGCCGCGGUAACACGUANGANGCAAGCGUUGUCCGGAAUUACUGGGCGUAAAGGGUGUGUAGGCGGGACGGUAAGUCGGGCGUGAAAUCCCACGGCUCAACCGUGGAACUGCGCUCGAUACUGCCGGCCUCGAGUACGGGAUAGGAGAGUGGAACUCACGGUGUAGCGGUAAAAUGCGUAGAUNUCGUGAGGAACACCGUUGGCGAAGGCGGCUCUCUGGCCCGAUACUGACGCUGAGACACGAAAGCCAGGGUAGCGAACGGGAUUAGAUACCCCGGUAGUCCUGGCCGUAAACGAUGGGCACUAGGUGUGGGAGGCAUCGACCCUUUCCGUGCCGAAGCUAACGCAUUAAGUGCCCCGCCUGGGGAGUACGAUCGCAAGGUUGAAACUCAAAGGAAUUGACGGGGGCCCGCACAAACGGUGGAGCAUGUGGUUCAAUUCGAUGCAACGCGAAGAACCUUACCUGGGCUUGACAUCGCCGGAAAACCCCACGAAAGUGGGACUGGAAGCUUGCUUCCGCCGGUGACAGGUGCUGCAUGGCUGUCGUCAGCUCGUGUCGUGAGAUGUUGGGUUAAGUCCCGCAACGAGCGCAACCCUCGUCGCUAGUUGCCAGCGGUUCGGCCGGGAACUCUAGCGAGACUGCCGGCGUUAAGCCGGAGGAAGGCGGGGAUGACGUCAAGUCCUCAUGGCCUUUAUGCCCAGGGCUACACACGUGCUACAAUGGCCGGCACAGAGGGUAGCAAGACCGCGAGGUGGAGCCAAUCCCUAAAGCCGGCCCCAGUUCGGAUCGGAGUCUGCAACUCGACUCCGUGAAGUCGGAAUCGUUAGUAAUCGCGGAUCAGCAGGCCGCGGUGAAUACGUUCCCGGGCCUUGUACACACCGCCCGUCACACCAUCCGAGUCGGGUGCACCCGAAGUCGCUGCUCUAACCCCUCGGGGAAGAAGGCGCCGAAGGUGUGUUCGGUAAGGAGGGUGAAG